rnacentral:rRNA from 1 species
AUGCGGCAGGGAAACCCAAUCUCCCCCUACUUAUUCCUAAUUGCAGCAGAGGGCCUUUCGUGCCUCCUGAAAUCCAGUUCUCAGUCAUCAUUCGCAGGUAUUAAGGUGGCUCCAACGGCGCCCACCAUUAACCACCUUUUAUUUGCAGAUGACAGCCUGCUGCUUUUUAAGGCUAAUGUGGAGGGGUCAGAGGAAGUGUCAAACCUGCUUGAUAUUUAUUGCAGAGCUUCGGGACAGAGGAUAAAUCAUGAGAAGUCUUCCAUCUUCUUUAGCAAAGGAUGUCCAGAAUCUAUAAAGGAAGAGGUGAAGAAUUCCUUAAACGUCCAAAAUGAAUCAUUAAAUGAACGUUAUCUGGGUAUGCCAACUGAUGUAGGCUAG